CGCCCCACAGCGUCUCGUUCUCUGACCUCGGCGCACUUCCGGGAUAGGGUCCCGCCUUGUCGCGCACAGUGCCAUCGCUCCUGGAGUCUCGAUGCGCCCGAUCGGAGUUAUGGCUUGUUGUGUAAAGCUCCAGCGUGUAUUUGCUGUUGAUCGCUACAAGCGCCACUGAAGCCUCUGUACACGGUUGGGUCGGUGUUGCUGUCAAAUGCCCCGGCCGCUCGGCGUCAAGCCUCGUGGAUUGAGAAGCGUGUGUUUUGUGGGUCCAGGGCAUGGAUCUAUUAAGGGUGGUUUUCGGCACGUCAUCUGGUGGACCGGUGGCCUUGUGAACGAGCUGCUGCUUUGUUUUACUGUGUUUUAUAUUUUAAGGACAAAGUCAUCGUACAGCUACUUUUGUGAAGCUUUUAAUCGGCAGUUAUGUGAACAGUGAAUAGUCUACUCUUAAAGUUAAUCUAACAAAAGGAAACAAAUGAAUAAUGGUAAUAAUAAAUUAUAUUAAUAAUUA